AACGAACGCUGGCGGCAGGCUUAACACAUGCAAGUCGAACGCAUCGCAAGAUGAGUGGCAGACGGGUGAGUAACGCGUGGGAACAUACCCUUUUCUACGGAAUAGCUCUGGGAAACUGGAAUUAAUACCGUAUACGCCCUACGGGGGAAAGAUUUAUCGGGGAAGGAUUGGCCCGCGUUGGAUUAGCUAGUUGGUGGGGUAAAGGCCUACUAAGGCGACGAUCCAUAGCUGGUCUGAGAGGAUGAGCAGCCACAUGGGGACUGAGACACGGCCCAAACUCCUACGGGAGGCAGCAGUGGGGAAUAUUGGACAAUGGGCGCAAGCCUGAUCCAGCCAUGCCGCGUGAGUGAUGAAGGCCUUAGGGUUGUAAAGCUCUUUCACCGAUGAAGAUAAUGACGGUAGUCGGAGAAGAAGCCCCGGCUAACUUCGUGCCAGCCGCCGCCGUAAAAC
rnacentral:rRNA from 1 species